UAUAGCAUAGCUACUAUAGAAUUAAACCGUUUUUAUUUUUUUAAGUGAAGAAAAUACCAUGAUAUCGCAGAAGAAAGACGCUCAUGAAUGGAUAGUAAAAGCUGCUGGUCCUUUACAGUUGACUGUUGAUCCUGUAAGACAGCGAUACAAUCAUAAACAUUAACAAGAGAAAGCUUAAAAUCUGUCGAGUUAGACUGUAAAGGAUUAUUCAAAAAUUCGUGAAGUAGUUCUAAUAACUUAGGGAAUCGACUUGAAGGGAAAUCAACCAUUGUUAGUAACCCAACAAGAAGUUCAGAGGCAUUGAGCUCUUUUUUGUGCUGAAGGUAAAAAAAAUAUUGAUGAAUUGUAGCAGCUGGAGAUAUUAUCGAGGCAAGGGUCGGGGUACAGGCUUUAGGAGAGCUAAACAAUUCAUACAACAGUUCAUCUUUAUCGGGACUAAAUGACUUCUUUUCUGCAAUACAUAUAUCAAACAAUUCCCAAGUAACGCGAUUUAAAGCAGAAUAGUUCGCAGCAUUAUCUAAAGCAAUUAGUGCUUCACCAUAGUGAUUACGUGCAAUUAAUUCAUCAGCCCAAUGAGUCAAUACUAAUUGAGCUUCGUCCCUUAGUUUAAGCUGCUUGCAUAAUUGAAGUGCAGUUUCCUUGGCAUCCACAUCGGAAAGAGGGACAUAUGGAAUACAAGCUUUUAUUCGUUGAUAGCCGGAAUCAGCAACACAUUUCCAGUAAGCAAAGGACGUUUGCCAAAGAUUUCUACUUUCUAAAACACACUGCCCAUAUUCCAGUAUAAGAUGUUCACGUAAGGUAAUGGGAUAUUCCUCGGUUAUGUAAUCCCGC